rnacentral:rRNA from 1 species
AAUCAACGCUGGCGGCGUGCCUAACACAUGCAAGUCGAACGAGAAAGUGGGGGCAACCCUGCGAGUACAGUGGCAGACGGGUGAGUAACACGUGAACAACCUACCCUCGAGUGGGGAAUAACACCGCGAAAGCGGUGCUAAUACCGCAUAAAAUCUUUGGGUUGCAUGACCUGGAGAUCAAAAGCGCAAGUUGCUUGAGGAGGGGUUCGCGGCUGAUUAGCUAGUUGGUGAGGUAACGGCCCACCAAGGCAACGAUCAGUAGCCGGCCUGAGAGGGCGGACGGCCACACUGGAACUGAGACACGGUCCAGACUCCUACGGGAGGCAGCAGUGGGGAAUUUUGCGCAAUGGACGAAAGUCUGACGCAGCAACGCCGCGUGGAGGAUGAAGGCCUUCGGGUCGUAAACUCCUGUCGAUGGGGACGAAAACCUCGUAAGAGGUCUGACUGUACCCGUUGAGGAAGCCACGGCUAACUCCGUGCCAGCAGCCGCGGUAAUACGGAGGUGGCAAGCGUUGUUCGGAAUUACUGGGCGUAAAGGGCGCGUAGGCGGCGGAACAAGUCAGAUGUGAAAGCCCCGGGCUUAACUCGGGAAUUGCAUCUGAAACUGUUUUGCUUGAGUUCUGGAGGGGAUGGUGGAAUUCCCAGUGUAGCGGUGAAAUGCGUAGAUAUUGGGAGGAACACCUGCGGCGAAGGCGGCCAUCUGGACAGUGACUGACGCUGAGGCGCGAAAGCUAGGGGAGCGGACGGGAUUAGAUACCCCGGUAGUCCCAGCCGUAAACGAUGGGCACUUGGUGUUGGGGGUAUUGAGUCCCUCGGUGCCGGAGCUAACGCGAUAAGUGCCCCGCCUGGGGAGUACGGUCGCAAGACUGA